GAGUCGUUGUGGUUGCUGAGAAAACGGUUUGGAGCUGAGGUUUUGGUAGCCGGGAUUUUGAUUGUUGAUUUCGGGUCGAGGCAGAAAGGACUCGGUGACGCGUUUGAGUUACGGAAUUGCGUCUUGAGGAUAUGGGCGCAGAAGUUACGAAGAGUUCAUUUAGUUGUUGUUGAGAUGCUUUAUAUUGUGUUAGUUAUGGUUUAUUGUACCCUCGCCUUUAUCUUGAUAUGAUCUGUAAGAGGGAUAGGAAUUAUAUUGGAUAAUGACUGUAAUAUUAUGUAUGUAUAUAUUUAUAUAUGUAUGUAUAUAUAUGGAUGUACUCUUUAUGA